rnacentral:rRNA from 1 species
UGAGCAACCUGCCCCUGACUCUGGGAUAACCCCGGGAAACCGGAGCUAAUACCGGAUACGACACGCGAAGGCAUCUUCUGCGUGUAGAAAGAUUUAUCGGUCAGGGAUGGGCUCGCGGCCUAUCAGCUUGUUGGUGGGGUAAUGGCCUACCAAGGCGACGACGGGUAGCCGGCCUGAGAGGGCGACCGGCCACACUGGGACUGAGACACGGUCCAGACUCCUACGGGAGGCA